GUUACAUAUUAUGAGAUACAGCCAAAAAAUUCACAUCUUUCAACGACUAAAAUAUAAAUUAUUUUACAGUUGCAAGGAGUGUGGUUCCUGACGUUUGGGGUAGAUUACUGGUCUUGGAAUGUUUUGUGGAAAUGUCAUAUUAUUGCUUUUUUCAACGUAACAGAUAAUAGAAUGAGUCGUGCCUCGUACAAUUUUUUCAAGAAUAAAUCAGAGGCCCCGCUUUCCGUCAUUGACGACGUCAAGCGCGAUUCUCAGGGUCAGUUUUGGAUGGAAGGGCCUAACGAAAACACAUUGGAAAUCUCAGAAACAAAACUGUUUGAAGAGGAAAGAAAACUUGUAUCGAACAUGGAAUAUCCUUCUCAAGGCAAGUAGUCUCGUCACAUCAAAUGAUCACUACGUUUAAAAAAGAAAAAGUUAACACUUUCUUACUUGUUACUUCAGAAGAGGCCUGGUUCUUCUCCCAACCGCACUUUUAUGCGACCGAC